rnacentral:rRNA from 1 species
UGAGUACAAGAUGCUACGGCAUCGAAGCAGUCUAUGUCAUACUUCCAAGAAAAGCUUGCAAUGUCAUAAACAAAUAAUGCCUGUACCAUAACCGACACAGGUGGGUAGGUAGAGUAUACUAAGGGGCGCGAGAUAACUCUCUCUAAGGAACUCGGCAAAAUGACUCCGUAACUUCGGGAGAAGGAGUGCCUUAUUUUUAUAAGGUUGCAAUAACAAGAUCCAAGCAACUGUUUACCAAAAACACAGGUCUCCGCUAAGUCGUAAGACGAUGUAUGGGGGCUGACGCCUGCCCAGUGCCAGAAGGUUAAAGAAGUUGGUUAGCAUUAGCGAAGCUGAUAACUGAAGCCCUGGUGAACGGCGGCCGUAACUAUAACGGUCCUAAGGUAGCGAAAUUCCUUGUCGGGUAAGUUCCGACCCGCACGAAAGGCGUAAUGAUUUGGAUACUGUCUCGGAGAGGGGCUCGGUGAAAUAGACUUGUCUGUGAAGAUGCGGACUACCUGCACCUGGACAGAAAGACCCUAUGAAGCUUUACUGUAACUUGAGAUUGAAAUUGGACUUUAUCUGCGCAGUAUAGGUGGGAGACGUUGAAAAUAUUCUUGCGGGAAUAUUGGAGUCAUCAGUGAGAUACCACUCUUAUAAUGUUAGAUUUCUAACUUUGUAUCAUUAUCUGGUCAAAGAACAGUUUCAGGCGGGCAGUUUGACUGGGGCGGUCGCCUCCCAAACGGUAACGGAGGCGCACAAAGGUUUCCUCUGAACGUGUAGAAAUCGUAUCUAGAGUGUAAAGGCAUAAGGAAGCUUGACUGUGAGACCUACAAGUCGAGCAGGGACGAAAGUCGGUCUUAGUGAUCUGACGGUGCUGAGUGGAAAGGCCGUCACUCAACGGAUAAAAGUUACUCUAAGGAUAACAGGCUGAUCUCCCCCAAGAGUUCACAUCGACGGGGAGGUUUGGCACCUCGAUGUCGGCUCAUCGCAUCCUGGGGCGGUAGUACGUCCCAAGGGUUGGGCUGUUCGCCCAUGAAAGCGGUACGCGAGCUGGGUUCAGAACGUCGUGAGACAGUUCGGUCCAUAUCCGGUGUAGGCGUUAGAAUAUUGAGAGGAGCCUUCUUUAGUACGAGAGGACCGAGAAGGACAUACCUCUGGUGUACCAGUUAUCGUGCCAACGGUAAACGCUGGGUAGCCAUGUAUGGAGAGGAUAACCGCUGAAAGCAUCUAAGUGGGAAGCCCACCUCG